ACUACUACUACUACUACUACUACUGCAACUACUACUACUACUUUUUCUUCUUAUUUUUUAUUUUUCGUACGUAUUCAACACAGUGACGAAAUGCACUCUGUAAAGUUUGUUUGGGCUACUGUUGAAACAUGGCGGCACAUGUUAGCGAACCGUUGCCUAUGUUCAAAACCAGCAGGCAAAGAGCCACACUCAUUAAAACGUUAGCAAUAGCCUACCUGCUGUUGCAUAACUUUUUUUUUGCCAGCUACGUCAUCAAAAACAAAAACAAGCUAUCUUUGGUCCAGUACAGACAAAAGCUUGUGAAAAGCAGGUCAAUUAUAUUUGUCAUGCCAAGUCUGUUCUAGUCUGGGUUAGUUGUUUUUGACAGUCGGCCGACAAAAUCAAACAUUGUGUGGUGGUGAAGGACUCUAAUAUUAAUUUAUUAUUAAUUUUUAAUUAAGUUUUUUCAAGUUUUUGUGCUUUCACAGGAUUUUGGUAUUUGCCUAGCAAUGCAACUGUAAUCAUAACCUACCUGUGAUUACUGUAUUUUGUCUCUGUAUUUACCCAGUUGUUCAGUAGGUUCUCCUUCCUAAUAUUAAUUAGCUACAUCUGAUAUAAUGUGCUGCUGCUGAUGGUUGUCAUUUUAACCAGCAAAAGUGUGCUCAGCCCUGACUAAAAAUGAGAAGCUGGAAUGUUUUGUACACCGCUUUCUGCUGAUAAAACAGAGCAGGGAGGAGAAAAAGAUUCAAUUAUAGAUGACAGAUUUGUUCGGAACUUCGAGAUUUUUGGCCUGCGUCACGCCAAACUAACUGAUCUACUGUUCAUGUAAACUGUUGGAUUAUCCAAUUGUGCAAUUAUUAUUAUAAUAAUUAAAUUAAUCAAUCAACCACAUCACUUAAUUGAUUUACUCUUAUUGUGGUCCCUGAAGUCCAGCCUGGUGUAGACCUACCUUGCCCUCUCCACACUUGGUGCCGGUCAUGACAAGACCGGGGUCGGGCAGGUCUCCCUGGCCGUCCUGGGUGCUAUAGACGUAGGUACCGCGGCACUUCACCUCGAUGCCGUCUGUCCUGAUGGUGGUGUCGAUGGACACAGCGUUGGUGCCUUUGGGCUUCUUGGCGGCACUGUGGCACUGGAUCUUACCACACUUUGCAUCCCUGGGCAGAGACACAAGCACACACAAAGAAACAUUUAGCAUUUACUUUUUAACGUCACUAGAGCUCCAUGCACGUUUUUACAGUCAAACAGCUCCACAGAUUCACACUGGGCCUGACAGGCUACUGAGGAGCUCGGAGCAGCAGGUGUAGGGAUAGACUGAUUAUCAGUUGACCAAUAUUUAUCAGCCGAUGCCUGACUUCUGUCAGUCAAUCUUUAUUGUGCAUUACCAGCUUAUCCAGCACAUGAUGGAUGGUAUAAUUUAUCAUUCAAACUCCAACUGGCCUCAACAGCCAAUGUACUGAGUGUACAGACUUUGACUGAUCUCAGAACUCACCGGCAUAAAGCCUCGGGAUAAGCAUACUUAGUUAUCUUGAAUGGAUGUGUCUUAACCUCAAUUUGAGCCAUCCAGAAAGAAAUUGCCUCCACUCAAUCUGCACUUUGCAUUGACUGUAAAUGCAGUCUUGACACCUCUAAAAUGUGUUGUGUAAUAUGUGUUAAUAUGUUUUUUUAACGUCUAGUUUCACUCUCAUUUUCAUUCUUUCAUACAUUGAUUAUACUCCAAGUACACAGUAAACACAGUAGAGAAUUGUGUCCUUUUUUAAUGAAGAUUAAAACUGUUAAAGACACACACACACACACAUAUGUAUCCUAUCAUGAAGAAAACAAAUGCAGAGGAUUACAGAAUGAUUGGCAGAUAGAGGCUGCAUGUAGAUUAUUCCGAUGUCUUAACAACAAGCAGCAUUUAUAUAUCCUCUAAUGAGCUCUCUGACUCAGUGGCCAGAAUACACUCUGAUGACUCCUGGGGGACUCCAUAAUGGAUGUGGGCAGUGGUGGAUCAUGUGAGGCAGCCGUCAACCACCUUAAUCCACAGCUUCAUUUACAUAGCUAAAUGGCUAAUUUGGCUCCAUUAAUUAGCUCUGGCACUGUGCCAGGGAAACCGCCUCUCAGAGGCCUGUGUGCAAAGUGCCCGACUCUGUGUUUGAGUGUGUGUGUUGGGAUGAAUGAUGAGACACUCACUUCUGCAAAAAUGUGCUUAACAAUCUAGCCACACUGUGCUGUGAUUGGCUAGUACUCUCCUACUAGUAGUACUCUACGUUACUUUGAUGCGUCCUUGUGAUUGGAUGCUAGCUGGGAGCACAGCCGUGCCCCUAGGAUGAUAGAGAUCCUAGGUGCUCCCUCACCUGUGACUUGUUGCAUUCUAGUUGGUCUUUAUUACAAAGUAGGAAAGAUCGAUUAGAUAAUUUACCACAUUUACACUAAUACUUAAGGGGCAUUCGUUAAGAUAACAAAUGUUAUCUUAAGUGACCCUGUACACAGGAUGAGCGGUUGACGGUGGAUGGAUGGAUGUUAUCUUUAGGAUAUACUUUAAUUUUAAAUAAUUUUGCUAUGUUGUUAUCUUAUUCAGAUCUCUAAUCCUUUGUUUUUCUUGAUGGGAACACAUGGUUCAAGAUUGAAUGUAAUCUGUUCACUGAAGUUCAUCAACGGUUCUGUGUUACUUUGAAGUUGUUCUGCCGUGUUGGAUUAUCUUUGUCUGGAUUUACUUUGCCUUGUUUUGGACUGCCUGCCCCACCACCGUUGUAAGCGUCACAUUUGAUUAAUAAACUCUUUAAAUCUGCAUCUGCUCUGCCUGGUGUCUGCACCUGGCUCCAAAUCCCCCGUUUUCCUAUCAGCGCUGAGCUAAACACAACAGAAUGAAGUUAAGGUUAUCAAUACAUGAUUUGCUGAGAUACAAAUGUCAUUUAAAGAACAAUGGGUUAAACUGCAAUGCGUCCCCUCUGUAGAGAUAAGGAUUUAAAAUAUAUAUAUUGUAUUAUUAUUAUUACUACAUUACCAUCAAUCAGGGAUGGAAACUAACAUCCCCCACCUGCCAAAUGCGGGUGGAUUUUCUGUUUUUCCAAAUUUUGGAAGGCUACCCGCCACUUUGAAGCUUAUCCAGCACAAAUAAAUUUGGCAUAUAAUUUCUAUUUGACUGUAAUGAGCAGCAGACCGGCGUUCUUGCUGGUUGUGUGUCAUACUUUGGUUGCAAUUGGUCCCCGAUGCACCAAGCUAUCUAAAAUUGUGUAACACACGGAUCAGGGGUUUCAUGUUACUUGUGUUUGAUUGGCAUAGAUUUGUAAGGGGUGGGCAUUAGGGGACAGGAGCCGGGAGGGGAGAGUGAGAGUGUAGCCGCUUUCAUACGGAGAUCAGCACACAAUGAAUCUCUGCAUUUAUGUCGCAUUCGUUUCUUCAUACUGAAGAAAAGUUUGCAGCUUUAUCCCGUGUGAAAAGGCCUUUAUCCCGCAAUCCUGUGUGCUGUCACAUAGUGGUCGGUCUUUACAGGAAGCAGUGGCGUGCCGCGGCAUGUCCGCUGUGGCUUUUUAAAAACAGAUCGUCCCGUCUCUCUGUCUUGUGUCUGUCACCUACUUCCCCUGCUCAGAGGCGGAUAAAAUCUGCUCCAUACCUUUCAUAAAGUGCAGCAAGCAGGCAGGUUGGUGCAAAACCCCAUGAAAUAAGGCGUGUAAAGCUGCUAGAGUUAGGAGCUAAUGACAAAAGUUGUACUUUGUUUUUAGCUUUUAGCUGGGUAGUUGGCCGUCCAGUCUAGUGUCUGACACACUGUCAGAUCUUCUGUUGGUCCUGCUGUCCUACUCAGAGAUCAAGGACAAUGAUCCAUCCAUGUUGAUCCCACAAAAGCUGUGAUGCUCUGGGACCAGGACUCAGAACCAGGAGGCCAGAAGAGGGGGACUGUAGAAAGGGAGCAGUCUGACGAGGAGGUUUAGGUUGAAUGAUUAAUAAGCAUCUUGUAAGGUUAAAUUUUUAAAGUACAUUUAAUAGCAAUAAUAUAAUUUUGCUUCAAAUUUCACUCUGGCCUCUUCUUAAGUUUGUAUUUGACAGAAUACCGUAUUAUCUCAAUUAAAAGGACGUUAUAGCUAAUGCUAAUUAGCAACAAGAUGCCACCCUUCUCCAGGGAUGACUUCCACAAACCUCUACAGAAAAUUGCAGUGCUGGAAACCAAGAUCCACAGGUUAGAAGUGAAUGUGGAAGUGAAUGGACUAUGUGGGAAUGACACUACUUUACCGUGGACCCAAAACAGUGGACAAGAGCAUGCUAACACACGGCUAAUUAGCACCAACAAGACAGGGCCCGCUGUCAACUGUCACGAACCCCGGGUCGUGACCCUGACCUUCCUGUUGGGAUGUGUGUGUGUGAUUGUAGUUUUGAGUUCUUUUCCCCUUGGGGCGUUAUGGUGUGCUUGGUGUGUUUUGGUUUUUGUCUGUCUCUCUGUGUUCUGCUUCCUCCCUCAUGCUCUGGGGCUGCUGGUGGGCGUGGUUUCCUGAGCUCCUGUUGACGCACCUGAGACUCAUCCAUUUAAUCAGCACACCAGUGCCUCAGCCUACAAUCAACCCACCUUAAAUGACCAGCCCAACCUUCCAGUCCCCGCCGGAUCGUUGUACCACACACAUACCUGCCCAUGCCUGACUCGGAUUCCCUCCUGCGCCAUAAAAACCCCUGAGUUCUGGAACCAGGACCACAUGCCCCUUGGAACAACCACCCAUCCCCAAGCCACAUCUGUCUCUCCCUUGUGUUCAAUAAAUCCUUACACUGCU